rnacentral:rRNA from 1 species
UACGGAGGAUCCAAGCGUUAUCCGGAUUUAUUGGGUUUAAAGGGUGCGUAGGUGGAAGAGUAAGUCAGAGGUGAAAGCUAGCAGCUUAACUGUUAAAUUGCCUUUGAUACUGCUUUUCUUGAGUAUAGUUGGCGUUGGCGGAAUGUGACAUGUAGCGGUGAAAUGCGUAGAUAUGUCACAGAACACCGAUCGCGAAGGCAGCUAACGAAGCUAUCACUGACACUGAUGCACGAAAGCGUGGGGAGCAAACAGG